GCAUAGGUGGUUCAGUGGUGGAAUUCUCCCCUCCCACCCAGGAGACCUGGGUUUGAUUCCUGGCCAAUGCA
rnacentral:tRNA from 1 species